rnacentral:ncRNA from 2 species
ACCGAUCUAACGGGGUGCCACUUUGUGGCUGAGAGGCUUUCGCCAACCCGCAGAACCUGAUCCGGUUCACACCGGCGGAGGGAUUAGAACGGCGUCCAUC